rnacentral:rRNA from 1 species
AUUGAACGCUGGCGGAAUGCUUUACACAUGCGAGUCGAACGGCAGCACGGACUUCGGUCUGGUGGCGAGUGGCGAACGGGUGAGUAAUGUAUCGGAACGUGCCCAGUCGUGGGGGAUAACGUAGUGAAAAUUACGCUAAUACCGCAUACGAUCUAUGGAUGAAAGCGGGGGAUCGCAAGACCUCGCGCGAUUGGAGCGGCCGAUAUCAGAUUAGGGAGUUGGUGGGGUAAAGGCCCACCAAGCCAAGGCUCUCUAGCUGGUCUGAGAGAACGACCAGCCACACUGGAACUGAGACCCGGUCCAGACUCCUACGGGAGGCAGCAGGGGGGAAUUUUGGACAAUGGGCGAAAGCCUGAUCCAGCCAUUCCGCGUGCAGGAUGAAGGCCCUCGGGUUGUAAACUGCUUUUGUACAGAACGAAAAGGUUUCUACUAAUACUAGGAGCUCAUGACGGUACUGUAAGAAUAAGCACCGGCUAACUACGUGCCAGCCGCCGCCGUAA